rfam:Pan troglodytes isolate Yerkes chimp pedigree #C0471 (Clint) chromosome 3, whole genome shotgun sequence.
GCCAGGUGUGGUAGUGGGCGCCUGUAAUCCCAGCUACUCGGGAGGCUGAGGCAGGAGAAUCGCUUGAACCCAGGAGGCUGAGGUUGCAGUGAGCCAGGAUGGCACCACUGCACUCCAGCCUGGGCAAUAGAGCAAGACUCUGUCUCCA